CAGAGGUGUGCUCUUCCGAUCGUUAGAAAUAAUCGAUUAACUUCUUACAAUUGUUUCUUCCUAAAUUACGCACAUCCUCGCGUGCACGUUCCAGAAACAGAACUUUAAGAGACGGUUUUACUAAUUGUUGUAACGUACUGCUACAUUUUGUUCAAUUUUACAGCUUCAUUUCAUUCUGAGAGCAACAGCACUUGAAAGAAAAAUCAUUUUCCUUUAAGAAGACUGGUACGAAAUGGCCUUAUUAAUUAAACAGGAUGAAUUUACCUCACCUAAGAUGUUGGACACCAUAUUAUCACGCAUGUUUUACCGAAAUCGUAGUGCCUUCACUGAAACCAUAAAAUUUGCUAUAUUGCUCUGCCUUUUCUGCAGUGCUUCACAGUGAGAUAUUCAGCAAUUUAACUUCGUUUCUAGGAAUAAUAUAGAGUUUCAGCACUUCAUCAAGUGAUCCAGGUAAAUUAUUUAUAAAAAUUUGGAAAUGACCUUAUUAAUUCACUUUUUCUUCGGUCCCAAGAAUGAAUUUUCUCUGUUUUUUUCUUCUGUAUUUAAACAGCACAUUUCUUUUUAGUAACCUUUUCCUUCACCUUUAGCAUUCAAUCACGCUCCGCCUCUUUUCUGGACCCUUCUACGCUUUCUCAAAUUCUUUGUCCUUGCGUUAUCAGGGUCCUAUCCAGGAACAACUACAAGUUGUAUUCCUGAAACGUUCGAAGUAUAUUGUACUCAGGUAUAUAAUUGGUUCCGGUUCCACAGUACAGAUAACGUCUUCCCUUGGAAUUCUCUCAACUUCAUGUGCAAAUCUUAAGAAAUCCAAGAACGUGCACCUGUAUUUGGUCUUUGAAUUCUUUCAUGUCAAAUUUUUGUUUGUAUUAACAAAUUUUUCCAAGCGCUAUUUUAGUUUUUUGAAUAUCUCAAGGUUAAGCUGGAUUCAUCAAAGAAAGAAGUACAAAAGUAUUUAAUUAUUUGUUCCAAGAGAAAAAUUGUAAAAGCUUAUUUUUCCUUAAGUAAAGAGAAACAGCUGAAGAUGUCGGAGUACUUCAAAUAUUUAAUCAAUUAAAGAAGAUAUAUGGACGAUUAUGGAGAUGAGAAAGAAUGUGAUUAAAUAACUGCGUACCUGCGUGUGUAAAUACAAGAAUCUAUCAUGUAGCGACAGAGUUAAUUGGAAGUGGUAUUCGAGAGGGAAACCCGCAAUUUGUCUUUGCGUACACUGUUUGUGAAUGAAGUUGUACAGCGUGAACUCGUGCCACCCGUGCCCGGUGGUGCUGCUCGAGAGAACAACACGUUGUCGACCCAUGCGUUUUCUCGCAAACGUAUUUAAAAGUCGAAGCAAAUAUUACUGCACGAUCUUCUCCUUUCAUUUCGUUUCUCAGUGUCUUCUAAUUUUUUAUUGACAAUUUCAAUAUUUCUCAAAAUUAGUACAUUUUGUGCUAUAUUAAUUUUCACCGAUACACUGAUUUUGAGUAAUGUGUUAGAGUAGUAAAUACUGACAAAUGUUGAGACUAGAAAUGUUGAAACUAAAGUAUCAGGAUCAAAUCAUUACUCUGGAUUUUUUCUUUUUUUUUUUAGUGUAGUAAUUACGUUUUGGUGAUUUUUAACAGCUAAGAAUAUGUUGUGGAAUAUAUUUUUCUGGAAGGAAAUAAAUUCCUAAAAAAGCCUUCCUGCGAAGAAGAGACAUCUUCAGUACAACGUACAUGUUCUUUCACCUGUUAUUUCGCUGUUCAUUGGCUGCGCACCUUACUGGCGCAACAGUAAGUCGCACAAUAAAAAGUUUCUCUCCUCGUCUCGUGUUGGCUCUCUUCCUUCAUGUAUACGGAUACACGAGUCGUGACCUUGUGGCAUUUGGUACCUGUCCGUACCAGUCGGCGCACGACUACGCCUGACGUAGUGUAUAAUGAUGGACAUGAUUCCAAUGGUAAAUUACUAAUUUCCCUGAACUUUUCUUUGAACACAAAAAAAAAAGAACCAGUAUUUUUAUUUUUUUCAUUAUAUUCUACACUGGUUAUGCGUAUAGUCUUGUAUUUUCUUUUAAGUUUCAUAACUUGGAGUUCUACCAAAGGAUGGCGCUUCAGGGAGACUUUCCUUCUAUACUAUUGAACUAUUGAAUUAUACUUAGUUAAAUAUAUCAAAUAUAAUUUUCUCGCUAGUCUUUGAUAUGCGCAUUUGGUUUUUAAUUUAUUACAUUUGUUUUUUAAUUUAUUUGUCCAUAUUUUAUUUAACCUGAUUCAUUGUAUCAUAACUAUCUUAAACAUUUCUUGUAAUGUUCAACAGUAUAAAUAAAAUAUAAAUUCCUACAGUACAAUUU